CUCCUCUAAUUUUUCCCUUUCCUUCUCCAGCUCACAUUCCUUUUCUUGUUCUUUCAUCUUUUGUAGUUCUUUUUCCUUUUCUUUCUGCCGUUCUAGUUCUUUUUCUUUUUCUUGCUUUCUUUCUUUCUCCAUUUCUCUUUGUUUUUCCUGCUCCUUCUCCAGCUCUUUCUCCUUUUCCUGCUGUCUCUCUCUGUCUUUUUCCCUCUCCUUCUCUCGCUCCUGUUCUUGUUCUUUUUCAAGUUCUUUCUCACGCUCCCGUUCUUUUUCUCGCUCCCUUUCCCUAAUUUCCUCUGGAGAUGGUUGUUUUUCCAGGAUGCCAAGCUUCUCAUCCAAUCGUUUCAGUUUCUCCGCACAAGCUGCCUUCCUUUGUUCUUCCAUUCU
rnacentral:lncRNA from 1 species